UGUCUCAGUUCGGAUUGGAGGCUGAAACCCGCCUCCAUGAAGUUGGAUUCGCUAGUAAUCGCGCAUCAGCCACGGCGCGGUGAAUACGUUCCCGGGCCUUGUACACACCGCCCGUCAAGCCAUGGAAGCCGGGAGUGCCUGAAGUGCGUGACCGCAAGGCGCGCCCUAGAGCAAAACCGGUGACUGGGGCUAAGUCGUAACAAGGUACC
rnacentral:rRNA from 1 species